AGGGUACGGGUAGGUUUUAAAUCAGAUUUUAAUAAGAUAAAUUGUAGUAAUAGGCGGGUUUUAGCCAUGAUUAUGACUUUGUGGCUGUGGUAACUAGGGACAAAUAUCAUGUCGACUGACUUCGAUGUGUAAGAAAAACGUGAUGCUGGUUAUUGCACGGAGUUGAAAGUACGAUUAAAUUGGUGAGCUAGCUAAUAAUUGAACCAAAUGGACGACUAUUAAAAUCAAUAGUGGUUUAUACGACUAUUCAUAAACUGUACAUUGUGCCUGCCGUCACUCAAAUACCAUCGGUUCAAUGCUGGUACGUUAGCUGGUGCUUGUCUCGUGCUCUUGAAUUGCGUAGCUUAGCUAACAAGCUAAUGUCAAAUACAGUUUGAGACCUGGUUUGAUACUUUGUUGUAAUCUCUUAGGCCUUUAAGUUAACAACAUAACCACCUAGCGUUAGAGUAAUCUGCAUCUUUGGCAGUGUUUACUUCCUAUGUUAUAUAAAUGAUUCGUAGUUAGUUAAUUUCCCAUCAAUACUGACAACGUUACAAUUGACAUUGUUGGUAACAAAUGUUCCAAAUACACCACAGAUAUCACAUAUGAUAGGAAAGUUAACUAAUAGGCGUGCACUUGCUUUAAUAAGCUGUCACUUCUAGUGGUCGAACUUACUCUUCCACAAUCAGCAGAAUGUUUCAGUCUACACCACGGCGACUUAUAAAAUUAUGUGAAAUCAGUGUGUGUGCUGUUUGGUUUCAAAGCAGUAAUACAGUGAGACAGGGAAUUGGCAAUGGCAAAUCCGAAACCACGACAUGGAUGAGAAGACGCAUGGGCCUGUUGUUAUCAUGGCUCCAGAGAUCCGGGGUGGGCACCAGUAAAAAAGUGGCGUCUGACAAUAAGAAGCAAGGCCUGCUGUCAAUUUUUGCCAACCAUUGCAGCUUUGUGACAGGCCAGAGGCUUCGACGCGCCUAUCAGAUUGGAGAGCUUUACGCAAACCUGUACUCAGAGCGAACUAGGUGGACCCUGGUAGGAAGCAUAUGGCGUCGACUCCAGAACAAGCACGCUUCCACGGGGAAGCUUGUGGCUGCACUGGCCGGUGUCUUCCUGUGGGAGGACGAGAAGGUCCGAGAUGAAGAACUACACAGGUGUGGACUAGAGCUCCAAGCUUUGGAGUCAGUGAAGAAUCUGAGUGCAUCCUCAGAGAAGGCUGAAGGGCAGGUGGAGACAAGCUGGGAAGUUGUCAUGGAGAAGAAGAAUUUCAAAGUGUGGAGGCGGCCAAUUGAGGGAAGCCACUUGUGUGAAUACAGAGUUUUGGGUUCUUAUAACGACGUCACCCCCCGACAGUUCUUCAAUGUCCAGUUGGACACGGUGUACAGGAAGACAUGGGAUGCUCUGGUUCUCAAGCUGGAGGUGGUGGACCGGGACGUCAACACAGGCUCAGAGGUUGUGCACUGGGCCACACGUUUCCCUUAUCCCAUGUACUCGAGGGACUAUGUUUAUGUGCGUCGCUACAAUGUUGAUGUGGAGAAUAAUCUGAUGGUCCUGAUCUCCAGAGCAGUUCAGCAUCCUGGAGUCCCAGAAACUCAGGACUAUGUCAGAGUCCACUCAUACCAGUCCAAGAUGGUCAUUCGCCCUCACAAGUCCUUUGAUGAGAAUGGCUUUAACUACCUUCUGACCUACAGCGACGACCCUCAGACCGCCUUUCCCCGCUACUGUGUGAGCUGGAUGGUGUCCAGUGGUAUGCCUGACUUUCUGGAGAAACUGCAUACUGCAGCCCUGAAGGCUAAGAACCUGGAGGUAGGGAUCUAUGAUUAUGCCAGCGCCGUGAAGUCCAAGGACACCAAGCACCAGCCCAGCCAGGACCGGCUUGGGGACAACACGCGCCCUGGGCAGAUCUACGCCUAAGGGACAUUUUUUUUAAGCAGGGUUGGGGAGAGUAACCUGCACCUGCUCGCAUUCAACGAGCUUCAAAACACAAGCUUUUGGACAAGGGGUGAUGGGAUAUCAAAUGAAGCUGGAAUAUACAUACGUUGAAGAUAUGCUGUACUCGUGCUAUACUGUUGCUAUUUGAGUGGUUAUAAUGGUCACAGCCAUAUUGAUAACAUAAUUGUCAUGAGAAGCUUAAAUUGUACCAACAAGAGCCUUUGAACACUUUGGAGGAAAGACUUCUCUUUUUCUGCCAGGAGAAUUGCCAUUGGAGCUUUCUGCCUUGAAACAAUAGUGCUAGACAGCCAACAUCCUGAGGGGAGAGGUGUCCAUCAUGCCUCCUUUUGUUAACUAGCUGCUACACCAACUAGCGAGACUGCACCAAAAACAUUUCCCCUAUAGAGAUGUUGCCAAAGCAUUGUUUCUCACGUCAUCCACCAUGUCUAGUAGUUUCUUCCAGCCACCUUGUUUGUGUUCCUUAUUUGGUCAUAUCCGCACUGAAAUAGCUCGCUGUAAAGGCUUAGCUACAUGCAUGCAUGCAUAGUUUGUUUAUACAACUGAGAAAGAAGAACAUCUAUAAAUAAACACGAUGUGAUACCAGGAACUCAAGGAACAUGCUUUGUAGCUGAAUGCCUUGGCACAUUGACUUCCACAGAUGAGUGAAUUUAAGGGCUCUAGUGGUCUCUUUUUCACGUUAUGGGAUUAGUGACGUUUUUGUCUGCAGAACUGAGGUUUCUCACUUCUUUGUCUGUCACAUCUUGUCUGUGUUUUAAACUGCCAGGUCACUUCUAACAGCCUUCUGAAGAUUACCAGUGUCUUCCUGUCCAAGGUGUCUUAUGGCAACCGCAAAAUCCUCUAUGGGAAAGUGUUCUUGCUGGUUUUUGUUUUACUUGCAUUGCAGUUCCCCUCCACUCGUCCAUGUUUUAUGCCCUGAUCCAAAAAUUCUAUAAAAAAAUAAGCAUGUGUGUUCUUGUCACCUAACUAUCUGCUUUCCAAUGGAAUGGAUAUUUACAUUAUCUUGAGUGACUUACAGGAACAAUGAGGGUUAAAUGACUUGCUCAAGGGCACAUGGACAGAUGUUUUUAACCUAGUCUGCCCUGGGAUUUGAACCAGCAACGUUUUGAUUAUUGGUCCUACACUCUUAACUGCUAGGCUACCUGCUGCCCCCAUGACUGUGACUGAAUAACUGUACUUUGUCCUGAGUACAAAGUUCAAAGUAAUGGAACAGGCAUUAUUAGGACAGACUGCUUGAUAGUUUGCACUACAGAGGAAGAUGUUUGUUUGCUCAGCUGUUACUGUACCUUCACAGUGAAAGUAGCCUUACUUACAGUAGUGCAACACUUUUUCUAUUACUGAUGAGCUUUGGAAGGCACGUGUGUAGUAACAUCAUGUUCCCUUUGCAUCCUUGUGUGUAUAUGUCUAAUAUAUUUAAUGUGGGUUUUUUUUCAGUCUGAUAUAUUAGCUAGUUCCUUCUGGUGGACCAAGGGGCAUGAAUGUGUGCUCUGUGGGAUAGAUAAACACAUGUGAAUUCUCUAUUUACAGCCUGACAAUCUGGUACAAUUGGAAUUAACACCGGUUUCUGUGUGAUAUUCAUUUUUUGUCUGUGUUGCUGAUAUUGGUUAAAACAGGUAUUUUUUGUCUGUUGCUGAUAUUGGUUAAAACAGGUAUUUUUUGUCUGUGUUGCUGAUAUUGGUUAAAACAGGUAUUUUUUUUUCAGUGACUUUCAUGAAUUUAUGCUUCCAGUAUACAGUACAUGCGUGACUACAGUACAUGAAACAGAUUGUUGGUAGUUCACCAUUACUGAGUUAGAAAUGUAAAAGUGCAUUAAAAACAGUGGUGGAAAAAGUACCAAAUUGUCAUACUUGAGUAAAAAUACCUUAAUAGAAAAUGACUCAAGUGAAAGUCACCCAGUAAAAUACUACUUGAGUAAAAGUAUUUGGUUUUUUAAAAUACUUCAGUAUGAAAAGUAAAUGUAAUUUCUUAAAUAUACUUAAAUAUCAAAAGUGAAAGAAUUAAUCAUUUCAAAUGAAUUAUAUUAAGCAACCCAGGCGACACCAUUUUCUUGUUUUAAUUUACGGAUAGCCAGGGGCACAUUCCAACACUCUGACAUUGUUUACAAAAUAAGCAUGUGUUUAGUGAGUCCGCCAGAUCAGAAGUAGGAUGACCUCUUGAUAAGUGCUUGAAUUGGACCAUUUUCCUGUUCUGCUAAGCAUUCAAAAUGUAACGAGUUCUUUUGGGUGUCAGGGAAAAUGUAUGGGGUAAGAAGUACAUUAUUGUCUUUAGGAAUGUAGUGAAGUAAAAGUUGGAAAAUAUAAAUGUUAAAGUACAGACCCCAAAAAACUACUUUAGUACUUUAAAAUAUUUUUACUUAAGUACUUUACACCACUGAUUAAAAGGAUGCUAUUGAACUAUGGUAUGGGUAAUUUUGUUUAAUUCCUUGGGGUCCCACAAUGGCUGGAAGUCUAUGGGUAUCUACUAACAUGCUUUCAGAUACCCAUAGACUUCCAGUCAUUGUGCUGACGCUAGUUAGCGUUAGCAUUUGCUAGCAAACUAACUUCCUUCAUACUGGACACGGAUACAUAAAAAUGGUAUCCACAAGUUCAUCUGGCUCUGGGGAAGUAGAUAAAUGGCCUUAUUGCCAAAAUCCGGAACCAUCCCUUUAAAGUAACUUACUCUCAUCAAGUAUGAAGAUCGUUUUCCUACUUUUACCUUUGAUAAACACACUUGUUUUCUGUUUGGGGGAAAAAACUGUUCAGUUAGCAGUAUAUAAAUGUUUGAAAUGUUGUGAGAGGAAAUUGCCUCUAAUUGAGCUUUUGUUUUGAGAUGGUCAGUUGUAGAGCUACUGUAUGCUGAACAUAAGAAACUUUGGUUUCUAUAUUGAAAUACUACUGUAUGCAAUGUUUUGGGAAUGUCCACCUUGUGAUUGUACCACUUUCUGGUGUGCUAUCACUUUUUCUUUCUAGACAACUAUGUCACCUCCCGUAGGUCACAGUGGUGUGUUCUAUAAACUAAAUCUCUUUUUCAACAUGCAGUUGAACACCUUGGAUAUGAUUUCCAGAAGUUGAUUCUUUAGAAAUUGUGUGAAAGAAAUUGAGAAGAAAACAAAAAUCUAUGAAACCAGGAAAGAAGUCGUCAUUGUAUGAUUCCAUGUUGAAAUGGAGCAACUAAUCAGAUUCAAUAAAUCCAUUUGAAGUA